rnacentral:lncRNA from 1 species
UAUUGAUGAUGAAGGCAAAGAUGUCGAAGAAAAUCAGUGAGUUGAGAGAAACACAAAAGGGCAAAGGUAAGCAAUUCUGAACAAUAACCCAAAACCUUACUUUAAUAGAUAUAUUACACCAACUAAAGAACACAAUCAUACACAGGCACAUGAGAAAAAUCAGAUGCUAUUCCGACAUACACAAGGCCGGCAAAUUCACGAAAAAUGCCUCACUUACGUCAUAUGGAUUUGGGCUUUCAGGCCCACCGUCGGGAAAACAAAACAGUUAGUUUUCUAGCAAUAAUAUAUCUUCCUUUUUAGUCCUAAAUGCCCAAACAAACUCAACUCACGUAUGCACAAUGCAACAGAGAUUUUUUUCCAAUUUUUCAAUAUCUUAUAAUCUUUUAUUUUUUAAUCUUUAUUUAAAAAUGAUAUUUAUUUAUUAAUCACAUGUUUCAUUAUUAUUUUUAUUUUUUCCUCAAUACUUGAGUUUAAGGAUAAAUAUCAUCUAAAAAUUAAAAUACAUGUUAGUUUUAUUUGGCUAAAUAAAAAUUUAUAUUAACAUACUUUUGUUGGUACAAAGUGUAUGAAUUACAUAUGAGUAUAUGACAUGAUUUGAUAUGGUUUUUGAUUAAGUAUCUUGAGAUGCUACUGAGCUGUAUCCGCUGUGUCUGGUAUGAAGUGCCCGUCUUAAAGCUAUAUGGUUUACGUUCUUGAUUUUUCCAACAAAACAAAAAAUCACCUAUAUAUCGAAACAUGAACAUUAUUUAAAACAACACUUAAACAACAAACAAAUGAACCAACGUGCAAGCGUGUAAGUAAAUCAGUGACCACAGCAAAACGCAACUUAAUAUGAUAUCUCACUUGCAUACAUGAGAUAGAGCACAACUCCGUCAAUGACCCCGCGCUUGCGCGGGGGCUCCGCCACUAGUAAUACUAAUAUCAACAUAGUUAAUGAAUGUUAAGGUAUAUAUUAGCCUAUUUAAAUCAUAUACUGUUUUUUUAACAAUCAUACUAGAUUCUGACCCGCCCUUCGAAGGGCGGGUAUAUUUUUGUUUUUAUUUUUUUGAAACAUUUAAUUUUUAUAUUUAUAUUUUGUAAUCAUAUUUGUGUUUUUCUGCAAUCAUAUUUGUGUUUAAUCAUAAUUUAGUUAAAUUUAAUUUAAUUUUUGGUAGUUGUAUUAAAUAUGUCAAGUUGCA